rnacentral:rRNA from 1 species
AUUGAACGCUGGCGGCAUGCCUUACACAUGCAAGUCGAACGGCAGCACGGGUGCUUGCACCUGGUGGCGAGUGGCGAACGGGUGAGUAAUAUAUCGGAACGUACCUUAUCGUGGGGGAUAACGCAGCGAAAGCUGUGCUAAUACCGCAUACGAUCUGCGGAUGAAAGCGGGGGACCUUAGGGCCUCGCGCGAUUGGAGCGGCCGAUGUCAGAUUAGGUAGUUGGUGGGGUAAAGGCCCACCAAGCCAACGAUCUGUAGCUGGUCUGAGAGGACGACCAGCCACACUGGGACUGAGACACGGCCCAGACUCCUACGGGAGGCAGCAGUGGGGAAUUUUGGACAAUGGACGCAAGUCUGAUCCAGCCAUUCCGCGUGCAGGAUGAAGGCCCUCGGGUUGUAAACUGCUUUUGUACGGAACGAAAAGGUCUCUAUUAAUACUAGGGGCUCAUGACGGUACCGUAAGAAUAAGCACCGGCUAACUACGUGCCAGC